rnacentral:rRNA from 1 species
CGCGUAGGCGACUCGGUAAGUCUGGAGUGAAAGUCCUGCUUUUAAGGUGGGAAUUGCUUUGGAUACUGUCGGGCUUGAGUGCAGGAGAGGUUAGUGGAAUUCCCAGUGUAGCGGUGAAAUGCGUAGAGAUUGGGAGGAACACCAGUGGCGAAGGCGACUAACUGGACUGUAACAGACGCUGAGGCGCGAAAGUGUGGGAGCAAACA